UUUCCUCUUCAACUCCUUAGCUCUUCAUACAUAUACUAAGCUAAACUCAACACUCCCCCUCAAGCUUAGCUUUGUGAAAGCCUAAGCUUGGAAAGCUACAAGAUCUUCCUCAUUAAAAACCUCACCAAAGAAAACCCAAUGGGAUAAAACUUUGAUGAGGGAAAAAGAGUAAAGACCUUGCAGCUAAGGGGAUUAGCUUCUUCUCUUCCCAAGAUCUAUGAGUCCCAAUCUGAUGUGAAUGG
rnacentral:lncRNA from 1 species